GUGCUUGCUUUGGCAGCAUAUAUACUAAAAUUGGAACAUACAGAGAUUAGCAUGGCCCUUGCAAAAGAAUCACAUGCAAAUUCGUGAAGCGUUCCAUAUUUUU